GAAAUGCGAUAAGUAGUGUGAAUUGCAGAAUUCAGUGAAUCAUCGAAUCUUUGAACGCACAUUGCGCCCCUUGGUAUUCCAUGGGGCAUGCCUGUUCGAGCGUCAUUUGUACCUUCAAGCUUUGCUUGGUGUUGGGUGUUUGUCUCGCCUCUGCGUGUAGACCCGCCUCAAAACAAUUGGCAGCCGGCGUAUUGAUUUCGGAGCGCAGUACAUCUCGCGCUUUGCACUCAUAACGACGACGUCCAAAAGUACAUUUUUACACUCUUGACCUCGGAUCAGGUAGGGAUACCCGCUGAACUUAAGC
rnacentral:misc_RNA from 1 species